GGACUACCCGGGUAUCUAAUCCUGUUUGCUACCCACGCUUUCGUGUCUCAGCGUCAGUGUCGGUCCAGAAAGCCGUCUACACCACCGGUGUUCCUCCUGAUAUCUACGCAUUUCACCGCUACACCAGGAAUUCCACUUUCCUCUCCCGUACUCUAGUCCCUCAGUAUUCGGCGCACCCUCCCGGUUAAGCCGGGAGAUUUCACACCAAACUUAAAGAACCGCCUACACACCCUUUACGCCCAGUAACUCCGAACAACGCUUGCUGCCUACGUAUUACCGCGGCUGCUGGCAC
rnacentral:rRNA from 1 species